rnacentral:rRNA from 1 species
UACGUAGGGGGCAAGCGUUGUCCGGAAUCAUUGGGCGUAAAGAGCGUGUAGGCGGCCCGUUAAGUCCGCCGUGAAAGUCCAGGGCUCAACCCUGGAAUGCCGGUGGAAACUGUCGGGCUGGAGUCCGGAAGAGGCGAGUGGAAUUCCUGGUGUAGCGGUGAAAUGCGCAGAUAUCAGGAGGAACACCAAUGGCGAAGGCAGCUCGCUGGGACGGUACUGACGCUGAUGCGCGAAAGCGUGGGUAGCAAACAGG